CAGCCGCCGCGGUAACACGGAGGGUGCAAGCGUUAAUCGGAAUUACUGGGCGUAAAGCGCACGCAGGCGGUCUGACAAGUCAGAUGUGAAAUCCCCGGGCUUAACCUGGGAACUGCAUUUGAAACUGUCAGGCUGGAGUCUUGUAGAGGGGGGUGGAAUUCCAGGUGUAGCGGUGAAAUGCGUAGAGAUCUGGAGGAAUACCGGUGGCGAAGGCGGCCCCCUGGACAAAGACUGACGCUCAGGUGCGAAAGCGUGGGGAGCAAACAGGAUUAGAUACCCCCGUAGUCCCGUCUCUUAUACA
rnacentral:rRNA from 1 species